CUUCGGAGGAGUUAGCGAAAUUCCAAUGUGUGCAGAUCUGCAAAAAAUGCGAAAUAACCCUCUAACCGUACAUUUCACAGAUGCGCACGCGCUGACUUUUUCGUAGACCGUAUUGAGAUACACGUGUGUGUCAAUUUUUGUGUCAAUAUGACAAAGCGUACAGGCGUGACAGUCAAUAGUGUGAAUUUUCGCCUUAGGGGGCGCUAUGGAGCCAUUUUGCAUUUUAUUGUUUGGGCGACUUCAGAAUAUCGAAUUUUUCACCAGGCCCGGUCGUCCUGCCAAAUUUCAUGAGUUUUCGCCAGUGGGAAGUGGGCCAUUUUCCAGUUUAAAGCGGAGGAAAAAUAAUAAUAACUAGGGCCCCGUUGGGGCACUGGCGGGCCCGAGCCGUGUCGCGCCGCUCCCAGCGCGACCACCUACCCCUCCUGAUCGCGUCACACUAAAGGUCCAAAGAUUGUGUGCGCACUUGUCUGUGGUCAUUUACCAUUAUAAUGAAUGGGAGGCGCAGUUUCUACCAAAACGCUCGCUGCAGACAAACUCCAUGUCCUUUUUGAAAAAAGUCUGGACCAUGAGUGAGGGCACAAACACAGCUAGUAUAUACCCAAAUGGCAAGGUGCUCCUCCUUUCGGUUUUGCCGAGGGAGCGAUGAAUUUGAGCCAUUGAGCGAUGGGCAGGAAAAACUUGACUUUUUCUCCUGCCAUGGGGGGGGCGCUCUUUUGGGGAAAAAAAAAUUCCUUCACAAAUGUGUUGAUGACUGAACAUUGCAUCAUCCUAGAAAACUUGGAGGCCAGUGAGGACAAAAAUAAAGUUAUAAGACUUUUAAAAAUGUGGAUAUUUGGGUCAUCUUUGGCGCCCCCUAGAACGUAAACCGUGGGAUGCAGCGUCAUGAUUUGUACAACUUUGAAUGGCCAUGGGGUGUAGAUUGGCCUGAGCAAAUUUGGUGUCAGUGGAACGAAAGCCUUAGGAGGAGUUAGCCACAUUCCAAUGUGUGCGAAUCGGCAAAAAAUGCGAAAUAGCCCUUUAACUGUAAAUUUUACAGAUACGCGCACAUUGACUUUUUCGUAGAUCUUAUUGAGAUACACGUGAUUGUCAAAUUUUGUGUCAAUAUGACAAAGCGUACAGGCGUGACACUCAACAAUGUGUAUAUUCGCCUUAGGGGACAAGAAAAAAUUGACUUUUUUCUCCUGCCAUGGGGGGGCGCUCUUUUGGCGAGUAAAAAUUCCUUCACAAAUGUGUUAAUUGCUGGACAUUGCAUCAUCCUAGAGAACUUGGAGGCCAGUGAGGACAAAAAUAAAAAGUUAUAAGACUUUUAAGACUGUGGAUUUUUGGGUUAUCUUUGGCGCCCCCUAGAACGUAAACCGUGGGGUGCAGCGUCAUGAUUUGUACAACUUUUAAUGGCCAUGGGGUGUAGAUUGGCCUGAGCAAAUGUGGUGCCGGUGGAACGAAAGUCUUCGGAGGAGUAAGCGAAAUUCCAAUGUGUGCGGAUCGGCAAAAAAUGCGAAAUAACCCUUUAUCCGUACAUUUGACAGACACGCCCGCGCUGACUUUUUUGUAGAUCUUAUUGAGAUACAUGUGUGUGUCAAUUUUUGUGUCAAUAUGACAAAGCGUACAGGCGUGACAGUCAAUAGUGUGAAUUUUCACCUUAGGGGGCGCUAUGGAGCCAUUUUGCAUUUCAUUGUUUGGGCGACUUCAGAAUAUCGAAUUUUUCACCAGGCCCGGUCGUCCUGUCAAAUUUCAUGAGUUUUCGCCAGUGGGAAGUGGGCCAUUUUCCCCCUCAAAGGGGAGGAAAAAUAAGAAGAAAGAAAGAAAGAAAGAAAGAAGAAAGAAAAACUUAUCAGGAACAACAGGGCUCUCGCAGCUGCUUAGCAGCUACGCUCGGGCCCUAAUAAUAACAAAAGAAGAAUCCAUCAGGAACAAGAGGGCUCUCGCAGCUGCUUAGCAGCUACGCUCGGGCCCUAAAAAGAAACAAAGAAAAACCACUUGGGGAAUAAUAGGGCUCUCGCAGCUGCUUAGCAGCUACGCUCGGGCCCUAAAGAAAGAAAGAAACAAAGAACUAGGGCCCCGCUGGGGCACUGGCGGGCCCGAGCCGUGUCGUGCUGCCCCCAGCGCGACCCCCUCCCCCUCCCGAUCGAGUCACACUCAAGGUCCAAAGAUGGUGUGCGCACUUGUCUGUGGUCAUUUACCAUUAUAAUGAAUGGGAGGCGCAGUUUCUACCAAAACGCUCGCUGCAGACAAACUCCAUGUCCUUUUUGAAAAAAGUCUGGACCAUGAGUGAGGGCACAAACACAGCUUCGAUAUAUCCAAAUGGCAAGUUGCUCCUCCUUUCGGUUUUGCCGAGAGAGCGAUGCGUUUGAGCCAUUGGGCGAUGGGCAGGAAAAACUUAACUUUUUCUCCUGCCAUGGGGGGGCGCUCGUUUGGGGAGAAAAAAUUCUUUCACAAAUGUGUUGAUGGCUGAACAUUGCAUUAUCCUAGAAAACUUGGAGGCCAGUGAGGACAAAAACAAAAAGUUAUAAGACUUUUGAAAUUGUGGAUAUUUGGGUCCUCUUUGGCGCCCCCUUGAACGUAAACCGUGGAGUGCAGCGUCAUGAUUUGUACAACUUUGAAUGGCCAUGGGGUGUAGAUUGGCCUGAGCAAAUUUGGUGCCGAUGGGACGAAAGCUUUAGGAGGAGUUAGCCACAUUCCAAUGUGUGCGAAUCGGCAAAAAAUGCGAAAUAGCCCUUUAACCGUACAUUUUACAGAUACGUGCGCAUUGACUUUUUCGUAGAUCUUAUUGAGAUACACGUGAUUGUCAAAUUUUGUGUCAAUAUGACAAAGCGUACAGGCGUGACACUGAACAAUGUGUAUUUUCACCCUAGGGGACAAGAAAAAAUUAACUUUUUUCUCCUGCCAUGGGGGGGCGCUCUUUUGGGGAGUAAAAAUUCCUUCACAAAUGUGUUGAUGGCUGGACAUUGCAUCAUCCUAGAGAACUUGGAGGCCAGUGAGGACAAAAAUAAAAAGUUAUAAGACUUUAAAGAAUGUGGAUUUUUGGGUUAUCUUUGGCGCCCCCUAGAACCUAAACCGUGGGGUGCAGCGUCAUGAUUUGUACAACUUUUAAUGGCCAUGGGGUGUAGAUUGGCCUGAGCAAAUGUGGUGCUGGUGGAACGAAAGUCUUCAGAGGAGUUAGCGAAAUUCCAAUGUGUGGGGAUCUGCAAAAAAUGCGAAAUAACCCUUUAACCGUACAUUUGACAGAUACGCCCGCACUGACUUUUUUGUAGAUCUUAUUGAGAUACAUGUGUGUGUCAAUUUUUGUGUCAUUUUGACAAAGCGUACAGGCAUGACAGUCAAUAGUGUGAAUUUUCACCUUAGGGGGCGCUAUGGAGCCAUUUUGCA
rnacentral:lncRNA from 1 species